GGCGCUAUGGUGUAGCGGUAGCACACGGGAUUCUGAUUCGGUAGAUCUCCGUUCUUCCCGUAACCCAGGUUCGAUCCCUGGUAGUGCCU